rnacentral:rRNA from 1 species
AGUGAACGCUGGCGGUAGGCCUAACACAUGCAAGUCGAACGGCAGCACAGUAAGAGCUUGCUCUUACGGGUGGCGAGUGGCGGACGGGUGAGGAAUACAUCGGAAUCUACUUUUUCGUGGGGGAUAACGUAGGGAAACUUACGCUAAUACCGCAUACGACCUACGGGUGAAAGCAGGGGAUCUUCGGACCUUGCGCGAUUGAAUGAGCCGAUGUCGGAUUAGCUAGUUGGCGGGGUAAAGGCCCACCAAGGCGACGAUCCGUAGCUGGUCUGAGAGGAUGAGCCACCACACUGGAACUGAGACACGGUCCAGACUCCUACGGGAGGCAGCAGUGGGGAAUAUUGGAAAAUGGGAGCAAGCCUGAUCCAGCCAUACCGCGUGGGUGAAGAAGGCCUUCGGGUUGUAAAGCCCUUUUGUUGGGAAAGAAAAGCAGCAGGUUAAUACCCCGCUGUUCUGACGGUACCCAAAGAAUAAGCACCGGCUAACUUCG